AGAGUGAACGCUGGCGGCAGGCCUAACACAUGCAAGUCGAGCGGCAGCGCAGCGGUAGCAAUACUGUGGGCGGCGAGCGGCGGACGGGUGAGGAACACAUCGGAAUCUACCCUGUCGUGGGGGACAACGUAGGGAAACUUACGCUAAUACCGCAUACGACCUUUGGGUGAAAGCGGGGGACUCGCAAGAGCCUCGCGCGAUUGGAUGAGCCGAUGUCCGAUUAGUUAGUUGGCGGGGUAAUGGCCCACCAAGACGAUGAUCGGUA
rnacentral:rRNA from 1 species